AUGCAUUGGCUCAUGAUGAUGUACUAUUGGCUCAUGAGGUUUCACUACUGGAUCAUGAGGUUUAUGCAUUGGCUCAUGAGGAUGUACUAUUGGUUUAUGAGGUUUAUGCAUUUCCUCUUGAUGAUGUACUAUUGGUUCAUGAGGUUUAUGCAUUGCUUCAUGAUGAUGUACUAUUGGCUCAUGAGGUUUAAGCAUUGGCUCAUGAGGAUUCACUAUUGGAUCAUGAGGUUUAUGCAUUGACUCAUGAUGAUGUACUACUGGCCCAUGAGAAUUCACUAUUGGCUCAUGAGGAUUCACUAUUGACUUGUGAGGAUUCACUAUUGGCUCAUGAGGAUUCACUAAUGGCUCAUGAGGUUUAACUAUUGGUUCAUGAGGAUUCACUAUUGGCUCAUGAGUUUUAUGCCCUGGCUCAUGAAGUUUCACUAUUGGCUCAUGUGGCUCAUGAUGUUUAUGCAUUGGCUCAUGGGUAUUCACCAUUGUCUCAAGUGGUUUAUGCAUUGGCUCAUGAGGAAUUACUAUUAGCUCAUGAGGUUUAUGCAUUGACUCAUGAGGUUUCACUAUUGGCUCAUGAGGAUUCACUAUUGUCUCAAAUGGUUUAUGCAUUGGCUCAUGAGAUUCUGGUAUUGGCUCAUGAU